AUUGAACGCUGGCGGCGUGCCUAACACAUGCAAGUCGAGCGGUAACAGGCGUAGCAAUACGUGCUGACGAGCGGCGAACGGGUGAGUAAUGCUUCGGAAUCUGCCCAAUGGUGGGGAAUAACCAGCCGAAAGGUUGGCUAAUACCGCAUGAGCCCUUCGGGGGAAAGCAGGGGAUCGUAAGACCUUGCGCCGAUGGAUGA
rnacentral:rRNA from 1 species